rnacentral:rRNA from 1 species
UACAAAGGUCCCAAGCGUUGUUCGGAUUCACUGGGCGUAAAGGGUGCGUAGGUGGUGAGAUAAGUCGGGGGUGAAAUCUCCGGGCUUAACCCGGAGGGUGCGCUUGAAACUGUCUAGCUAGAGGGUGGGAGGGGAGACUGGAAUUCUCGGUGUAGCAGUGAAAUGCGUAGAUAUCGAGAGGAACACCGGUGGCGAAGGCGGGUCUCUGGACCACUACUGACACUGAGGCACGAAAGCGGGGGGAGCAAACAGG